UAGUCGUAAGACAAAUGUGAAGGUGCUGCAUGGUUGUCGUCAGCUCGUGCCGUGAGGUGUCGGCUUAAGUGCCAUAACGAGCGCAACCCUUAUCUUUAGUUACUAACAGGUCAUGCUGAGGACUCUAGAGAGACUGCCGUCGUAAGAUGUGAGGAAGGUGGGGAUGACGUCAAAUCAGCACGGCCCUUACGUCCGGGGCUACACACGUGUUACAAUGGGGGGUACAGAAGGCAGCUACCUGGUGACAGGAUGCUAAUCCCAAAAGCCUCUCUCAGUUCGGAUCGAAGUCUGCAACCCGACUUCGUGAAGCUGGAUUCGCUAGUAAUCGCGCAUCAGCCAUGGCGCGGUGAAUACGUUCCCGGGCCUUGUACACACCGCCCGUCAAGCCAUGAAAGCCGGGGGUACCUGAAGUACGUAACCGCAAGGAGCGUCCUAGGGUAAAACUGGUAAUUGGGGCUAAGUCGUAACAAGGUAGCCGUACCGGAAGGUGCGGCUGGAACACCUCCUUUCUGGAGC
rnacentral:rRNA from 1 species